rnacentral:rRNA from 1 species
ACGUUAGCGGCGGACGGGUGAGUAACACGUGGGUAACCUACCUAUAAGACUGGGAUAACUUCGGGAAACCGGAGCUAAUACCGGAUAAUAUUUCGAACCGCAUGGUUCGAUAGUGAAAGAUGGUUUUGCUAUCACUUAUAGAUGGACCUGCGCCGUAUUAGCUAGUUGGUAAGGUAACGGCUUACCAAGGCGACGAUACGUAGCCGACCUGAGAGGGUGAUCGGCCACACUGGAACUGAGACACGGUCCAGACUCCUACGGGAGGCACAGGC